GAAUACUUCCUCUGCACUGGGAGGGGAUGUUGACCAGAAUCUUUGGGGGUGGGAGGCAGUCCUGUGGUUGAUUUAUUUACUGAAGGUAGGUGUUGGAAUUACACUCUUUUAGAGGGUUCAGCUCUCUGAAACCCCCUGGGACCACUGGACAGCCAUUAUUCUCAGGCUAGGAUUUGACAUAGGCCUCCGAGGCCAAUGUUCUUUCUCCAAAAGCAGCACAGCAACAACAGCUCUGCCUUAAAAGACAGAAGAUUACACUUAGAAGAUUUCUCCAACGCCACAUACUUUGGAGGUGAGAGGAGUACCCCAUCACUCUCCCUCUGAAAACUUCAAAACCUUCAGAGGCCAGGGUGAAUAUUUAGAAAGCAGGCGGGUCCAACAGAAAGAACGGCCAUUGAUCUAUUCCAAAAAAAUAAUGUGUUUGGGGCCCAUGUGUCAGGUACAGCGCGAGGCACUUUUUAAGGAGCUCCACCCUUGGCUGGCAGGAACUCCCUCGGUCAGCAGAGGCUGGUAAACUAAGAAAGCAAGAUGCUAGGAGGACAGCUGGCUCCUUAAUCCCACCCUGGCCCCCCAAACAAGACAGCUCAAGUCUUGCCGGCCCUGGAGGCCCAGGCACUUGGACAUCACUUGCUCUAUGCCUUUCUUGGGAGGCAGAGCUUAGUGGGGGUUGAGGAGAGAUCUACAGGCUGAGUGCGCUCAUGACACAAUCAAGAAGUUUCUGGGGCCAGGUUUUUAUAACUUGGGAUCUGUGAAUCCUCUGACGGUGUAUGCCAAAUUGGGGCUUUUAUUAUUUUUUUCUCCUGGAGAGACUAUAGCUUCCAUGCAACUUCUAAUAUGAACUGGCAGGAAAAUAAGUUAAGAGCCACCAAAACCAAAUUCUUAGAAAGUUAAUCGAGGGCCUCCCAAGACUGCCUCUACCUCUCCAAUACACAGCCCUUCCUCUGCCACUUACACUCUCUCUGAACAUCCCAACCUCCUUCUGCCAACAAGCCAUUUCCUCCUUCAGUUUUGUGGUGGUCUGGCAUGAACUUUCAGGUGAAGUCCUCUCAUCCUUGAACACUUACUUAUUAACAAACACCUAUUUACUGAGCACUUGAUGGGGCCAAGCAUCAUGCUAGGCUCUGAGGAUACAGCCAUAAACAAGAUGGAUGAGAUCUUCCUUGUGUUUCCAGAGACAUCCUCCAGCUCCCAACCCCAUUUAAGGCUAAUACAACAGUUUCUUACACUUCAUUUGUGUCACAUUUACACACUAUUUUAGGUGAAGGUAUCUGUCUACCUCACUUAUUCCUUCUCCAUCCCCACCCCACUCCAUCCAAAAAGAGAAACAGACACAGAAUCUUUCACAGAGGCCAUCCUAAGUAAAUGCACAUCAAUCCAUGAAUGCUGAUGGGCUCACCAGUGGUCCAAGCAGCAAGACUAGCAUACCAGGGCAAGCCUGACUCAGCAACACAGGGUCCAGGGGACCUUGGGAGAUGUCUCUGUUGCAGCAAAGAGAGCAUGGGGCCUCUGUUCCUCAGCCACAGCCUGCAGUUCUCAUUCCAGCUGCUGAUCUUUCAAAUUGUGCAUGCAGUCAGGGAAGUUAGAAAAACAACGCCCAAGUAGAUGUGUCUGGCUGACCUACCUCCUGGACUAUCCAGGUGGAGGAGAAGCAUACAUCUCAGAUAUCUGCACCAAUACUUUCAGCAUGUAAACUGAUGGAAGACAUCAAACAAUGCAUCAAAGACAUAUACCCCUCUCAUGAAGAAGAGAGCUGGCUGCUCUAGAUACCACAGCCAUCUCUUCUAGCAAUCUCUGCCAGCUCAUUUCCAGAGCAUCUGAACACAACCAUCUACUUCCUAAAUCACAACAUGGCAGUGACUAGAGCUGCCACCAUCCCUUUCUACCUGUCAGAUGCAGAAGGAUGCACAGCCAACAGUAACAGGACCACAGAGCUGUUUCUCUAAUAUCACAAAAGCUUUCAAUACUGUUAAUGAAAUGGCUCUAGCAGCCACCAAAGAAAUCUGCUACUGGACUUUGUUGUCCAAGAAAUAUGACCUUAUGGUACUGAGGUCAGAGA
rnacentral:lncRNA from 1 species